GUGCCAGCAGCCGCGGUAAGACGGAGGAUGCAAGUGUUAUCCGGAAUCACUGGGCGUAAAGCGUCUGUAGGUGGUUUAAUAAGUCGACUGUUAAAUCUUGAGGCUCAACCUCAAAAUCGCAGUCGAAACUAUUAGGCUAGAGUAUAGUAGGGGUAAAGGGAAUUUCCAGUGGAGCGGUGAAAUGCGUAGAGAUUGGAAAGAACACCGAUGGCGAAGGCACUUUACUGGGCUAUUACUAACACUCAGAGACGAAAGCUAGGGUAGCAAAUGGGAUUAGAUACCCCAGUAGUCCUAGCCGUAAACGAUGGAUACUAGAUGUUGAACAGAUCGACCUGUGCAGUAUUAAAGCUAACGCGUUAAGUAUCCCGCCUGGGAAGUAUGCUCGCAAGAGUGAAACUCAAAGGGAUUGACGGGGGCCCGCACAAGCGGUGGAGCAUGUGGUUUAAUUCGAUGCAACGCGAAGAACCUUGCCAGGGUUUGACAUGAUACGAAUUUCUUUGAAAGAAGAAAGUGCCGUUUGGAACGUAUACACAGGUAGUGCAUGGCUGUCGUCAGCUCGUGUCGUGAGAUGUUGGGUUAAGUCCCGCAACGAGCGCAACCCUCAUUUUUAGUUGCCUUAUGGAACUCUAGAAAGACUGCCGGUUAUAAACCGGAGGAAGGCGGGGAUGACGUCAAGUCAGCAUGCCCCUUACACCCUGGGCUACACACGUGCUACAAUGGGUGAGACAAUGAGAUGCAACUCUGCGAAGACUAGCUAAUCUAUAAACUCACUCUAAGUUCGGAUUGUAGGCUGCAACUCGCCUGCAUGAAGUUGGAAUCGCUAGUAAUCGCUGGUCAGCUACACAGCGGUGAAUUCGUUCCCGGGCCUUGUACACACCGCCCGUCACACCAUGGAAGCUGGUUAUGCCCGAAGUCGUUACUCUAACCGUUUGGAGGAGGAUGCCUAAGGUAGAAUUAGUGACUGGGGUGAAGUCGUAACAAGGUAACC
rnacentral:rRNA from 1 species